GGUUUCCGUAGGUGAACCUGCGGAAGGAUCAUUGUCGG
rnacentral:rRNA from 2 species